UUCAUUAAAUUUUAUAGGAAUUAGGUCUAUAAUGAAUUCCCCCGGAAGAAGGAAAGACGAACAAGUCCAUUAACUGAUGCUGAUGGCUGAUGCUGAUGCUGAGAGAGAAAGUCCUGGGACCAGCUGAUGCAUGUCCUACUUGGGGUUAAUGAUUGGCAACGUGCCUAUGGCACCAUGUGCGGCCCAAGGAUGGUCACUAUCAAUGAAUACCCACAGAACCAUAUUAUAUGGAAUUGUGGGUGUCAGUGUAUAAUCAUUUAAUUAAUUUCUCCUUCAGGUAUUUGGUUGAAUGCAAUAACAUUCUGCCUGAUCAAUUGCAUACAAAGCAUCCAGAACUUUGUGAUAGAUUUGGUGGGCUCUUAGCAAUGCAUAUAGAUGAUGUAUGUUCGAGCAUUGGCACCUAUGUGGCUUUCGAAAACAGAAGAAGUACGUGCGAGAAGAUAGAGCUCACUGGGGAACUAAUAUAUAUAACUGGGCAUGGUGACAUUUAUGGAAGCGCGCGGAUGGAUCAGUGAGAUGUAUGGAUACUCUUUUGGUGCAGCAGAGGUUGGUCUUCGACUCUUCGGCACAAAAUGAUGAUCUAUCCAGGAUAUAUUCCACAAGAGGGUGUUGUGCCUAUUCUUCUUCACUAUGGCUUGCCAUUUAGCGUCGGAAAUUGGUCCUUUAGUAAAUUCGAUCACCGUCAAGAUGGUAUUGUUUAUGACUGUGGCCGUCGCUUUCCUGAACUGGCCUUCUUAUCCAAAAGAGAUUAGACUGAUGGAACCAGAUGCACAUAAAAGGUCGGGUAUUUUUUUGAAUGUAGAGUGCAUUAACACUUUGAAUGAGGGACUUUUACUUCAACAUGCAGCAAAUCGUUGCCCUAAGCCAAGGUGCUUAAAAUACAUGGGCUUUAUGGAAAGCAAAAUUUUUGCUGAGCUGACUCAAUCAAAACAGCUGACCUAUUGAGGAGAAGGUACAGGCUGUACAGCAUGCAGCAGGCUAUGGAUGAACCUGCGAAAGCCAUAUGCAAAAAUUCGCACAUUAUUUUUUUAACAUUGUAAAUUUCCUACCUUGUGGUUGCAAAUUCCUCAAAAUUCUGUGAGAGAAAAACAGAGAAGCAACCAAGUCUGAAAACUAUAUGAUCAAUAAAGAACUAAAACAGGCUCUGGGGUCUCCGUUCUACAUCUCCACUAGCUGUGGAGGUCUUGUGUCUCUGUGUCAAAGAAGACCACGCUGCCGCCUCCACCCCCCAGCAGCCAAUCAACACAUGCCACGUAGAGCACCCGAAUUACUUCGGGUCAGCCUUUGCUUGGGAUUUGGGUGUCCCCUGGCCCAACUUUUUCAAACAACCUCCCCGGCCCGGAAUCUCUUUUAUUUUCGUCAUUACUAUGUAUGAUUAGGCGCUACUAUCUUCUUCUUUUUGAGAAGAAGAUAAAAGAAGAAGAUUAGGCAGCUACUAGAUUAGAGGGGAAUUAGGCUACUCUCUAUAUCUUCUUCUUUUUGAGAAGAAGAUUAGGCAGCUACUAGAUUAGAGGGGAAUUAGGCUACUCUCUACUUUUUGUAAGUCAUUUUAUAAUAUACACGUGAAUUGAGGCUGAACCAUACAUCCUGAGGUUUUGAUCUAAGAUAUCUCAAAAUCGUGCACAUAGAGGAUUCCGUUCAACUGGGUAAAAUAUAACAUUAAUUUUUCUGAGAAGAAGAUUAGGCAGCUACUAUCUUAGAGGGGAAUUAGGCUGCUGUCUAGAAAAAGCAUCUAAAAAAGGAGUCAUGCUACAUCACAUGUUCAAUUUUGAAUAUUCACAAAACUGAAAUGUCACUGUUUCACUUUUCA